rnacentral:rRNA from 1 species
CAAUAGCGUAUAUUAACGUUGUUGCAGUUAAAAAGCUCGUAGUUGGAUUUCUGGAGGGAGCGUCGGCCCGUAUUUACGAGUGCGUGACGUCUCUGUCCAUCCUUGCGGGAAGGCACGGCAUUGAUUUGUUGUGUCGGAUCGCAUCAUUUACUGUGAAAAAAUUAGAGUGUUCAAAGCAGGCUUUCGCUUGAAUACAUUAGCAUGGAAUAAUAAGAUAGGACUUUGGUGCUAUUUUGUUGGUUGAGCCUAAAGUAAUGAUUAAUAGGGAUAGUUGGGGGCACCUGUAUUGCGUUGGCAGAGGUGAAAUUCUUGGAUUUACGCAAGACAAACAGCUGCGAAAGCGUCUGCCAAGGAUGUUUUCAUUAA